UACAGAGGUCUCAAGCGUUGUUCGGAUUCAUUGGGCGUAAAGGGUGUGUAGGUGGCGCCGUAAGUCGGGUGUGAAAUCUCGGGGCUUAACUCCGAAACUGCAUUCGAUACUGCGGUGCUUUGAGGACUGGAGAGGAGACUGGAAUUCAUGGUGUAGCAGUGAAAUGCGUAGAGAUCAUGAGGAAGACCAGUGGCGAAGGCGGACUUCCUGGCCUGUUCUUGACGCUGAGGCGACGAAAGGCCGGUAGGGGAGCAAAACGGGG
rnacentral:rRNA from 1 species